ACUUUCUUAGUAUAACAUAUAGUACAGCUGACUUCCAAUCAGYCAGCCUUAGU
rnacentral:tRNA from 1 species